rnacentral:misc_RNA from 1 species
CCGUCGUGGCUCCCGUGGCCCUCAGUCCCGGUGCCGCUGAGUGAGUGUGGGCACGUGUACCCUCCUGGUGUGUGUGUCUUACCGUGCCCACUCUUUCAGUGCCGCCGGCGCUCAGCUUCUGUGUCUGUCCCCUUUUUAUGUUAGUUACCCCUCACAGUGUUGUCAGCCCGCGAUCUCGGUGACGUCGACAUGGAGUAAACCCCCCACCUGGACCCUCUGCUCAGAGCGGGGGGUCCAGGGCGUAUGUCUACACAACACAACCUUAGCAACUUUUAGAAAAGCCGGCCUGAGGCAAGAUGGCACAACAACUGGAGCAGCUCCUUACCUGCUGCAUCUGUCUGGACAGGUUCCGCAACCCAAAGCUGCUGCCAUGCCAGCACUCGGUGUGUAUGGAGCCCUGCAUGGAGGGCCUCGUCGACUACGUUCGUCGACAGGUCAAAUGCCCAGAGUGUCGCGCGGAGCACCGGAUCCCCUACAAUGGGGUCCAGGGGUUUCCCUCCAACGUAACACUGCAGAGGUUCCUCGAGGCUCACAUAGAGAUCACUGGAGAAACGCCAGACCCACACACAGGACAAUAUAUGGAAAGAUGUAACGUGUGUAACGAAAAGAACUACUUAUCUGUAUGUUCUCAUUGUGAAAAGAAGAUUUGUGAGGAUUGUAAGGCAGCGCACUUAGACAUUCUCAAACGUGAGAUCGGCCGCAUCAACAAUCAGGUUAAGCGUGCAUCCCACCGCCUCAACGACCAACUGUCCACUGUGGAGCGCAACAUCACCUCCCUCAAGCAGAACACCACCAGCGUGAGCGAUGAAAUUGAAAACAUCUCCAAACGUCUGCAGAAGUCCGUUCGAGACCGCUGUUCUUUUCUGAAGGCAGAGGUGGAGAACUACUACGGCAACGAGUUCAGAAACUUGACGAUGCUCAAGGAGAGUCUGGAUCAGGAGGUCUCCAACAUCGGGGCCAACAUUGAGCUGGCAGAAAAACACAUGGAUGACCAGACGCCCUGGGACGACGCUGAGCUCAUGGACGCUAAGGACAUUUUCCUUAAAACCAUGGAAUUCAUUCGAAGUUUUGAUUACGAAGCGGGUGACUACAGCAGAAGGGCCAGAUUUAAUCCUCCUGACGACCUGAAUAAGCUGACGACAUCCCUGAGUACCCUGGGCGACCUGACCUUCAGUACACCUAACAAGAUGAGCGACGGCUACUCAUCCGGCCCAUCCAUGGGCUCUGGGCUAAUGAAGAGCAAGAGCGACCACAGGCUGGCGGCUCAGUUUAGGGACCAGGAAGACGGCUACGGUUACACCUCAGGCAGGACCUCACCACUCAUGCGCAGACGCUUCGGGGAGAGGAACACCGAGAGGCACGACGAAGAUUCCUCGGCUGACUCUGGGAGGCGGCGGUUCCGGUCACGGUUCAUGCGCAAAGAAGAAGACGAGGAGCGUUCGGUUCGCUUCGCCGAAGAGGACGGACCAAAACGUCAACGAGUAUUCGACACAGAGGACGUCUCGCGCGGCCCGCUGUCCGGGAUCGUCAGACUCUACGACUCACCCCGCGUCAUGAAACGAUUCCAGGAGCGUGAUCAAAAUAAGACUAAAAAGAAGGAAGAGCCACCCAAGCCUGCACAACCCACAUUACCCAAGCCUCCCGCGACCCCCAUCCAGCGCAAGACUUCGCGUCAAACUAGCAAUGAAGACGAGAUAGAUAAGAUCAAGAAACAAAACAAAAAUACAGAUUCAACGUCAGGAGCGACUGCCACAACACCAACAGCAAACACUUCCACACCCUCCACACCUACCACCCCCAAACCCGCAGGUGAAAGAGUCUCCUCCAUCAGAGACGAUGAACGGCAAAGCCGCAGUGAUCGAACAUCCACAUCUCCCAGAUCCUCAGCUAAUCACUCCCCAGCAUCUUCCAUCACUCGGGAAGAUGAUUCCAGUCGGCGGAAUGAAUACAGUCGCUCCAGAGCAGAAAGUAACGCUUCUGGCGCCAACGGUACAACGAGCCGCCCUACUCCUGCCCGCAAAACUAGUGUGGACACUGGAGUGACUAGUGUGGCGCAGCGCGCUUACCCCUUCAGCCGCUCUUCAUCUAAUUCAUCUGUAGGGGAUAAGGAUAAGAACACGAGUGGCACUCGUAGCCCCCGGACCCUUGAUACCGCAGGCUACGAGCGCCGCUUGUCUCGAUCCAACAGCACUGACAGCAAUAAAUCUGGCGAUGGGUCAUCGUCCCCAAAGAAAGCAACGGGUGCGGCUUUCUCCACAGAAGAGCUCAAGAACCGUUUCGUGAGGACAGACUCAAAGCCAUCCACUUCUAAAGUAGAAAGUUCGUCUAGAUCGUCUGGUCCAAGUAACUCUCGUUUUCAGUCACGUUUUUUAGGCCGAGCCGGUACUCCUUCAGUAGAGACCUCGAAGGAAUCAGGGAAUGAAGAUGAAGAUGAUGAAACCACCGAAGAUUCCGAGUCCGAAGAGAGUGAAGAAUCGUCUGAGGAAGAGGAGGAGGAGGAGGAGGAGAAGGAGCCAACGUCAGAAUACUCUCGUGCGGACAUUGGGCCCUUACUGGGGAAGAGUGCCCAGGCUCGCGAUGUAGCCGGUAGUACUAGUUCUAGGAGCACUUGGGGUGACAGAAGUUCAUACCCAUCUGCUAGUACCAGUGGAACUGAUUCGGGUUAUGCAAGUAGAUAUGGCAGUAACAGUGACAACAGUAAUGGCAGCAGUAACAACAGCAGCAGGUACGGAGCCCCUACUUCUAACAGUAGUAGCACCGACGCAGGAGCUACCAGUCACCGGCGCCCAUCAUACCUGGACAGUGCAAAACCUCAGGCCAAGGAAAAGGAAGACGAAUUUGAGUCCAAAUAUCCCUACUCAAGCAAGUACCUGAACCGCUCUCGGGCCGCCGUGCCCGAGGAGGAUUCCAAACCUACUUUCCAAAGCCGAUUUCUCAACCGAUCCAAAAGUUCGGCUGUUUUAGGUCCCGAUGAUAAUGAUGAAUCUACUCCCACCACCACCCACGGCACUGGCCGGGCCCGCUUCGAAGAACUGAAGGAACGGCGACAGAGACUUGCACGAAGCAAGAGCUCAGCAGGUCUGGAAGAUGAUGAAGGGACAGCCGCCGAUACCAAUUCAGCCGCCAAUUAUCGACCUCGUUAUGGCCGAGUAGAACCUGAAGCCUCCGCCACGACGCGUAACACUGCUGCAGGAACAUCAUCAGUAGGAGCAGCAGGAAGCAGUAGUAAUGCUGGAGGUGACAAUAGCGGCUCAUCUUCCACUCAACUCUCUAAUUGGGCCCGUUACCUUAAAAACAAAUAUGGCAACAGAAGUGGAGCAGCAGCAGGAGGAGGAGACAGUUCCAGUAGAAGCACGGGCACCGGUCUCAGCGGUAGCACGAGCACCAGUGCUGGUAGCGGGCUGGGCAGCAAUACUAGCAGCGCCAGCGGUAUUAUGGGUAGUGGUUCACGCCCUGGUACUAGUAGCACAGUAGGAGGAAGAGCAAUCUCCCGCUCUCGGUCCUCGCAUCUCCUUGGUCUAGCCAAAGAGGGAGAAUCAUCUGAAGACGAUUCAAAAAACGUGCACGCUACCCCUACUUUCCCACCAGCAGGUACACAGGUUCCUACUCCGUUCGGAAGUUUACAUAGGAGCCAGUACCUGCAGAAGCAACGCCUCUUAAUUAAGAUCGGGAGUAGGGGUAGUGAACCAGGAAACUUUACAUGGCCAAGAGGCAUAGCUGUUGGACCCGACAACAGCAUUGUGGUUGCCGACUCGAGCAACCACCGCGUGCAAGUAUUUGAUCAACAGGGUAAGUUCAUAAAAGAAUUCGGCUCCUACGGGAGCGCAGAAGGUGAAUUUGAUUGUUUGGCUGGUGUGGCUGUCAACAGAAUCGGUCAAUACAUCAUUGCCGAUCGCUACAACCACAGGAUACAAGUAUUUGAUCCAUCCGGAAUGUUCCUUCGGUCAUUCGGAAGUCAAGGCGGUGGCGAUGGGCGGUUUUCCUAUCCAUGGGGUGUGACAACUGAUGCCCUCGGCUUCAUCUACGUCUGCGACAAGGAGAACCAUCGCGUGCAAGUCUUCCAGUCUGACGGCUCCUUUGUGGGCAAGUUCGGGUCAAUGGGCAACAAGCCCGGGCAACUGGAGCACCCGCACUACAUAGCCGUCUCCUCCACCAACCGCGUCAUCGUCUCAGACUCCAACAACCACCGCAUCCAAAUAUUUGAUAUUAAUGGAAAGGUUACUACAACCUUCGGUUCUGAGGGCAGCGACGAAGGACAGUUCAAGUUCCCAAGGGGAGUGGCUGUGGACGACCAAGGUUACAUCUUCGUAGCUGAUAGCGGUAACAACCGUAUCCAGAUCUUCCACCCCGAUGGCUCCUUCCUGAGGGCCUUCGGCUGCUGGGGAUCUGGAGAAGGAGAGUUCAAGGGCCUCGAGGGUGUGGCAGUGAUGUCCAACGGGAACAUCCUCGUCUGUGACCGCGAGAACCACCGCGUCCAGGUCUUCUGAGAAGUGGCGGUUCCUGGCGCUUAGUGCCCAGGUGGGUGCGCCUGAAGACCCCGUAUGGCCGCAUACCAUCGGUAGUGACAUAGGCUCAGGUCAUUAGAUAUUUCGAGGGGAGAUGAAGGAAAACGGAGCUCCCCGCCAGCCAAGACACGUAGCACAAAGCUACCCAGUAAAAGACCACAGCAACAUCAACUUAUGCCUGGAAUGUAGACAAGACUUUCUUUUCCCAGCCAAUCAGAGGUGAAGAGGUGAAUUCUGUUCUACAAUGAAAACAAUUAUUGUCGACGAUGAGAAGAAUUAGUGGAGUGAUGAACUUGCCUGAUGGUCGUUUCCUUACAUGCAUAUUAUUCGGGUUAAGCGGAUUUUCCUUGUCAAUUCGCUGAUAACCUCAAGGGAGAUAAGAUUUAGACCCAGGAUAUUGUUGGAUGUCAUAUCGAGGGUGCACGACGGUAGGCAGUCUAGGGCACAGUGAACUCGCAGUCCAAGUUGGGGUAUUUCAUUGCAUUUCAUUCCAAAAAUGCCUUAAUAUACCAUAACACCCAACUUACAAUGAAGACUAGUGCUGUAAAGUUCCAUAUAUAUGAUUCAGACUCCACUUUGCCCUAGACCUGCAGUCUACCCUACUUGUGAUUGCUGGGUUACAGAUCGUCUGAAUGUAACGUUGUGUACAUUAGAAUUUAAUAUAACACGUUUGUACAUUGUACAUAAGUGCAUUUUCUAUGAAUAUAUGGAAGCAUCAGCGCUAAAAGUAUCAAUUGUCUGCAAAAGCUCGUGAUAGCUCAUCAUUGUUACAAAAUUGAAUGUGUGGGACUUUGUAAAAUAUUUUGUUUUGUUUUGUUGUUCCCAGUGUAGGCGUAAACAAGCCAACACCGUGUGGGGAUACUCAGCCAUGAUGACUGGUCACAUGGAGUCGUAUGUGUCUUAACCUUCAUCUUUUUUCACGACUGAUAAUUACCAUUUUUUAAAGUCAUUUGAUAUAUAAUGGAUCCUUCCGUAACGUGAACUUAGUUCAUUAACCUAAUAAUUUAAUAGAAUGCAUACACAGCAGUUUGCUUUUAGUUGAUUACAAUGAUGCAGAUGCACAGUAAUAUAGUAACUGUACCGUGAGCAGUGUAACAUGUUUCUUAUUUGAGUUUCAAUGAGAAAAAAGGGUCGAAGAUUUGUCACUGAAACAGCUACAUAUUGUAUAUCUUUUGGAAGAAGCAUUAUGUAAUGUAUAUCUCAGAAUAAUAUACAGGUAUAUCAAUGUUGGAUACAUAUCGUUGUUUGUAGUUCUAAUAAGCAUUUUUUCUUAUUUACACAUUGUAUAGUUAGGUCAGAUUCAAAUAAUUAUCAAACAAAUGAAGAUCUAUAUAAUUUGAUUUUCUCAUAAGAAACCCACAUAUAUAAAUAUAUAAAAUAUAUAUAAUUUUUGUAAGACACUCUAUUAUACACUGUAAUACUCCAGUUUAUGGCUUGUUUUCUCAACAGUAUUGAAGUCCAGUUUUUGGAGAUACAGUUAGCAUUGAGUGAUACACUUCAGUAUCAUCUGCCAAGUUCAGUUAUUGAAACUUAGUAUUAAAUUAAUAUCGGCGUUGGCUACACAGUUUGUUGCUCAGUAUUGAGUGUAUUUUCACAUAUUGGUUUCCUAGCUGUCAGUAAGCCAAGCAUUGUCUAGUUGUCAUUUUCUUUUUAUUUCUUGAAUGAAAGAUUGUCAGUGUCUCUGGUCACUUUCCUAGAAGCUGAAAAUAAAAAGAUAAGUUGAA